AUUGAUGAUAGCUAUGAAGUAUGACAUUUUGCUCUUUGAUUGCAAUACAAGUUCUUGUUAUGACAAAUGAAAAUGGGAGCUGUAUUACACAGAUGGAUUUGGACGAUACAUUAUUGAGAUUUGACAAAAUGUCCACAACUUGGACAUGGAGGAGAAACAAUGGAAGAUCAGAAGGCACUUUUACAUUCAUCUUCAUCUCUCUAGCAAUAUUCUUGGGGAUGUUUUAAUGAGAAAACAGAAGCUGCGUUAUGGUUGAAAUUGAAAUAAUUAUACAUGAGUAAAAGUCUGACAAACAAAUUGCAUUCGAAAGAGAGCUUGUAUUCUCAUCGCAUGGUAGAAAGUGGAUCUUUGAAAGAUCAUUUGGCUAUAUUCAAGAGGAUCAUUGCUGAUUUGGAGAUUUUAGAGGUAAAGUACGAUAAAAAAGAUUUGGCCUUAAUCCUUUUGUGUUCGCUGUCCACUGCGUUUAGAGAUGCAAUCUUGUAUAGUUGUGAUACUCUUGCACAUUGAAGAGUCGUAUAAUACUUUGUUUUCAAAAGAUAAGAUGAAGC
rnacentral:lncRNA from 1 species